GACGAACGCUGGCGGCGUGCUUAACACAUGCAAGUCGAACGGAAAGGCCCUGCUUUUGUGGGGUGCUCGAGUGGCGAACGGGUGAGUAACACGUGAGUAACCUGCCCUUGACUUUGGGAUAACUUCAGGAAACUGGGGCUAAUACCGGAUAGGAGCUCCUGCUGCAUGGUGGGGGUUGGAAAGUUUCGGCGGUUGGGGAUGGACUCGCGGCUUAUCAGCUUGUUGGUGGGGUAGUGGCUUACCAAGGCUUUGACGGGUAGCCGGCCUGAGAGGGUGACCGGCGACAUUGGGACUGAGAGACGGCCCAGACUCCUACGGGAGGCAGCAGUGGGGAGUAUUGCACAAUGGGCGGAAGCCUGAGGCAGCAACGCCGCGUGCGGGAUGACGGCCUUCGGGUUGUAAACCGCUUUCGCCUGUGACGAAGCGUGAGUGACGGUAAUGGGUAAAGAAGCACCGGCUAACUACGUG
rnacentral:rRNA from 1 species